AUUGAACGCUGGCGGCAUGCUUUACACAUGCAAGUCGAACGGUAACAGGCCGCAAGGUGCUGACGAGUGGCGAACGGGUGAGUAAUGCAUCGGAACGUGCCCAGUCGUGGGGGAUAACGCAGCGAAAGCUGUGCUAAUACCGCAUACGAUCUGUGGAUGAAAGCGGGGGACCUUCGGGCCUCGCGCGAUUGGAGCGGCCGAUGUCAGAUUAGGUAGUUGGUGGGGUAAAGGCUCACCAAGCCGACGAUCUGUAGCUGGUCUGAGAGGACGACCAGCCACACUGGGACUGAGAAACGGCCCAGACUCCUACGGGAGGCAGCAGUGGGGAAUUUUGGACAAUGGGCGCAAGCCUGAUCCAGCAAUGCCGCGUGCAGGAAGAAGGCCUUCGGGUUGUAAACUGCUUUUGUACGGAGCGAAAAGGCUCCCUCUAAUACAGGGGGCUCAUGACGGUACCGUAAGAAUAAGCACCGGCUAACUACGUGCCAGCCGCCGCAGUAAUAC
rnacentral:rRNA from 1 species